UCCCUGGUGGCUCAGAGGUUAAAGCGUCUGCCUUUGAUGCAGAAGACCCAGGUUUGAACCCUGGGUCGGGAA